GGGAAUGUGGCUUAGUGGUAGAGUGCUUGUCUCACAUGCAUGAAGCCCUGGGUUCGAUUCCUCAGUGCCA
rnacentral:tRNA from 1 species